rnacentral:rRNA from 1 species
GAUGAACGCUGGCGGCGUGCCUAAUACAUGCAAGUCGAACGGUCCGCAAGGAUAGUGGCGAACGGGUGAGUAACGCGUGGGAACGUACCCUUUGCUACGGAAUAGCCCCGGGAAACUGGGAGUAAUACCGUAUGUGCCCUCUGGGGGAAAGAUUUAUCGGCAAAGGAUCGGCCCGCGUUGGAUUAGGUAGUUGGUGGGGUAAUGGCCUACCAAGCCGACGAUCCAUAGCUGGUUUGAGAGGAUGAUCAGCCACACUGGGACUGAGACACGGCCCAGACUCCUACGGGAGGCAGCAGUGGGGAAUCUUAGACAAUGGGGGCGAACCCUGAUCUAGCCAUGCCGCGUGAGUGAUGAAGGCCCUAGGGUUGUAAAGCUCUUUCAGCUGGGAAGAUAAUGACGGUACCAGCAGAAGAAGCCCCGGCUAACUCCGUG